UAAUCACAGACGAUUCGACACAGAGGAGGCAUUCAGAGACGGAGAGAGUGGACGAACGAAGAAAAAUAAAAACGCAUAUAGAUUCAGAGAGAGUCAGAGAGCAAGAAUUCGGAGGAGCUCAGAAGCUGAGGAGGAAGAAGAAGUUGCAUAUAUUCCUGAGUUGGUGAAAUCAUCAGCAGGUUUGAGAAGGGUUUCAUUCUGAAAGGUUUGACGCUGGAAACCGUGGACCACCAUUUAGCUGAGAGGCUCUACCAGGACUUGUCUGCGAAGCCGUUCUUCAACGGUCUUGUUGAUUACAUUAUCUCUGGCCCUGUUGUUGCAAUGGUCUGGGAGGGGAAGAACAUUGUUGCUACGGGCAGAAAGAUGAUUGGAGCGACAAACCCAGCAGCAUCCGAGCCUGGAACGAUCUGUGGAAUGUAAUCCACGGUAGUGACUCGGUGGAGAGUGCUAACAAGGAAAUUGCUCUUUGGUUCCCGGAUGGACCUGUGAACAGGCAGAGCAGCAUUCACUCUUGGAUCUACGAGUGAAAGCCCUGGUUAACUCGGCCUGUAUCGGUCUCAACAUUCUUAUCAUUGGGUUGGAUCUUAUAAAGUUCUGAGUUUUUUCCUUCAGGCGAGUAUAUUUUAUUCUUGGCUUAAAACAUAGUUACCAUGUGUUUUGAA